GAGACUCUGUGCGCGUGCAUAUCAAUAAGCGGAGGAAAAGAAACUAACAAGGAUUCCCCUAGUAACGGCGAGUGAAGCGGGAAGAGCUCAAAUUUGAAAUCUUCAAGGUUUGACCUUGACGAAUUGUAGUUUAAAGAAGUGUUUUCGGUUAGAGGAGUAGUAAAAGUUCUUUGGAAUAGGACAUCAUAGGGGGUGAGAAUCCCGUAUUUGACCAUUAUUUCCAGCUGUGUGAUACACUUUCAAAGAGUCGGAUUGUUUGGGAAUGCAGUCCAAAAUGGGUGGUAAAUUUCAUCUAAAGCUAAAUAUUGGCGAGAGACCGAUAGCGAACAAGUACCGUGAGGGAAAGAUGAAAAGAACUUUGAAAAGAGAGUUAAACAGUACGUGAAAUUGUCAAAAGGGAAGCGUUUGACACCAGUGUUGUUUUCUCGAAAAUCAAUUAAAAAUGAUGGGAUUUUGUGUUGUAUUGACUUUAUCAGCUUUCUGCACUUUUUUCUUAUCUUUUUUAAUGCACUUUUCGUUUAACAAGUCAACAUCAAUUUCUUUUGUUGUAAAAGAGUCAUUGGAAGGUGGCUUUUUCUUCGGAAAAAGUGUUUAUAGCCUUUGGCUUCUGCAAUCGGAGAGAUUGAGGUCUGCAGCGUAGAUCCUUCGGGGUUAGAUACAUUUGUGCUAAGCUAUAGUUCUUUAUAGACAACUUGUUGACUAUAAUCAAUCCUGUAACUUACUCGCUUAUGCUAUUUUACCUACGCUUAGGAUGUUGACGAUCAGCUGAGCGCCG
rnacentral:rRNA from 1 species